UGCAUCUUUGCAGAGUGAAGAGUGAAAUCCUGAAACUAAAUUAACCUAAAUGAAUCACACAAUGUCAAAGUCUUGGCCAACUUAUACUGCACCACGUCCUGUGGAUCUGAAUAACCCUCUAGGACACCAAACAGAGCCUUGCAUCUCCACACUGGUGAAGAUGACUCCAGAUGGAAGAAUAGAGGGAAGAAAGAGAAGGGACUUACCUGAAAGACUGGACAAAUCCCCCAAAAAAAGCAAAAGCAGUGGAGGUCCAAAACCGGGUCCCAGCCACUUUGUUUCUGGGGAAUCCAGUUUGAAAUUUGGCCUUCUCAUAGUGCCUUCAAGCGACUCUAGUAUAAUUAAGAGGAGCAACAAACGGAAGAGCACUAGUGACGAAUCUGAG